CUGGGUUUCUAUUGUUUUGGAUGCCAAAGCAUUGAGAGUGCAUGGAUUAUUCGAAGAAGUAUAUUAUCUAAAGGAAUGAGGGGAGUCAGAAAAGAACUAAAGUGGAGUCAGAGUGGGAAGAAGAAGAAUAAGCAAGAAGGUUCGAAAAAUUGAAUAAUCUUUCUCCUGCGUUCAGAUUGGAGUUAAUUACUCCAAGUUUAUACAACAGUAAAGGUAUAAUUUUUGUUAACUUUGUUUCAAGAAAACAAUAUAAAUAAUCCUUGUGCAAUUUAAUUUAGGUCAUUUUAGUUUUGAUUAAAAAAAUGAAAAUCUCAUUUCUUAUUGUGUAAAUAAUUGUAUUCAUUACAUUCAUAGGUUGAGUUGCCUAGGAAUAGGUUCUAAAAUCUAGAGUUCAAAUGUUAAUUUCUUUACUUUUGCACCAUAAUUCUUAGCCACCAAACAUUGCUUAAUUGGUUUUUGUUCUCUGAAGUUCUUUGGCUUUGUGUUUUGACCUAUGGAUGGAGCUACUUUGAUUAUUGUGUUUACAGGUUAAGAUAAAAGUGCACCAACAUGUCAUCGUGAUGUCUACUGAGUUUGAAGUGCACUCUACUACUGUCUCCAACCCUAAAUAGUAUGUAUGGUGGUAAUGAGUAUGUUUUCUCUUUUAUGUAGCCUAAUGCAUUUAUAUGAAACCCUAAACCUUUAUAUAUGGAUGAAAGGGUUAAAAUUGUCUAUUUCUUAUGUAGCCUAAUGCAUUGAUUAAGCAACCUUGAAUUGCACUCCUUUGAUGUAUUCAACCCUAAACUAAUAUGUUUGUAUGUAACAUUCGUGCUACCAAUGAAUUUAUACAAAACCUUAAACCUAUAUAUAUGGAUGAAAGAAUUUCAAACAUGUAUCCCAUGUGUAAUCUAGUAUAUUGAUUAUCGAGAUAUCUUAUUUGCUUUGUUGUUAAGUAGUUGUG